rnacentral:rRNA from 1 species
GAUGAACGCUGGCGGCGUGCCUAAUACAUGCAAGUCGAGCGAACAGAUGAGGAGCUUGCUCCUCUGACGUUAGCGGCGGACGGGUGAGUAACACGUGGAUAACCUACCUAUAAGACUGGGAUAACUUCGGGAAACCGGAGCUAAUACCGGAUAAUAUAUUGAACCGCAUGGUUCAAUAGUGAAAGACGGUUUUGCUGUCACUUAUAGAUGGAUCCGCGCCGCAUUAGCUAGUUGGUAAGGUAACGGCUUACCAAGGCAACGAUGCGUAGCCGACCUGAGAGGGUGAUCGGCCACACUAGAACUGAGACACGGUCCAGACGCCUACGGGAGGCAGCAGUAGGGAAUCUUCCGCAAUGGGCGAAAGCCUGACGGAGCAACGCCGCGUGAGUGAUGAAGGUCUUCGGAUCGUAAAACUCUGUUAUUAGGGAAGAACAAAUGUGUAAGUAACUAUGCACGUCUUGACGGUACCUAAUCAGAAAGCCACGGCUAACUACGUG